ACCUGCCCUAUGAAUAAUUAUUUUUAAAUGGCCGCGGUAUUUUGACCGUGCAAAGGUAGCAUAAUAAUUAGUUUCUUAAUUGGGAACUGGAAUGAAUGGUCGAACGAGAAAAAGACUGUCUCAAUUUAAUUUAAAUUAGAAUUUUAUUUUUAAGUAAGAAAGCUUAAAUAUACUUAAAAGACGAGAAGACCCUAUAGAGUUUUAUAUUGAUUAGUAUAAUUAAAAGUUAAAGUAUUAUAGAUUUAAUUAUAAUAAUUAAGUAUUUAAUUGGGGCGAUUAAAAAAUUUAAUGAACUUUUUUUAGAUUAAACCAUUGAUUUAUGAAUAAAUGAUCCAAUUUAAUGAUUAAAAGAUUAAAUUA
rnacentral:rRNA from 1 species